rnacentral:rRNA from 1 species
UUUGUAGGUGGUCUGUUAAGUCAGACGUGAAAUCCCUCAGCUUAACUGGGGAACUGCGUCUGAGACUGAUGGACUUGAGGGCAGGAGAGGAACGCGGAAUUCCAGGCGUAGCGGUGAAAUGCGUAGAUAUCUGGAGGAACACCGGUGGCGAAGGCGGCGUUCUGGACUGUUUCUGACACUGAAAAACGAAAGCCAGGGAGCAAACG